GAAAAAGGCCUGUGAGAAGACAUGGCCCCUUUCCUAUGUCUGGUUUGGCUCUAUAUAAGACAAGUUUGGUUAUUUCUCUGAAGAUCUAGGAAAAUUCACAGAUGAGUUUGAGAAGUUAACUUUCAUCUCUAGUUUAACUUGGCAGGAUCUGUAUGUUUUGUUGUCUCUGUGUUAUACAGUGGAAAAGAAACAAUGCAUUUUCAGGACAGCUAGGACCCAUGCAGAUGAGAUAUUGGCUCACAACCAGAACCAUAAUAUAUAUCAGACAGGAGGUAUAGCAGUUCCAGAUCAAGAUCUAGAGUGGAACUAUCACAGGGGCAGUGAGGACUUGGGAGAAGAGAUCAUAUGGUCACUUGUUUUUUGGAAGAGAUGAAGAAAGGCAUGAAAUAGCCUGUUAAAAGUGAAAAGGUUAACGAAGUUUCUCAGGGCAAAGAAGAGAAUCCAGCUCUGUUUCAAUAGUGUUUAGUUGAGGCAAUCAGGAGAUAUACUAACAGUGAUCCUGCCUUAAGGAAAAGAUAAACCCUUCUGGGAGUCCAUUUUAUAACCCAGUCUGCCCCUGAUAUCCAUAGAAAACUAGUAAAAGCAGCUGUGGGUCCCCAAACUUCUAUGGAACAGCUUUGGAUAUGGCAUUUUUAGUUUUUAAUAACAGGGACAAAGCGGAGGAAGCAGAAAGAGGAAGAAGGACCUCCCACAAGGUGCAGCUCUUGGCUGCAACCUUAAGCUAACCUCCCACAUGGGGCUGCCUCCUGAGUCUUGGCCUGAACAAUAGAAACUGAAAGGUGGGAAGACCAAAGCUGGCCAUCUGAGUCACUGUGCCUUGGGCAUAAAUCAGGGUGCACACUGUAAGAAAACUGGCCAUUGGAAGAGGGAUAAUCCAGUGUUCUGAAGAGAGCCAUCGGCACCCUAACUAAUAAUGAGUGAAACAGCCAGGCAAGUGCCCAAAAGUGAUGGGGCCUGAGACCUUCCACCAAAGCUCCAAUCAGACAACUAGCCGUAUUAUCUGGAGAAGCCUUGGUAACCUUCACCAUGGCAGUCUUCCAGUAAUCACCUUUUUUUGGAACUUGAAGUUAUGAACGACCUUCACUAUACAAACACUGUCUGACUUUCUCUCUACUCUGAAUGCAAGAGGCCCCAACAGUUGGUCAGGAAUAUCAUCGCCCCUACUCAGCCUGAAAAAUUUACAGUCCAACCUCUGACCACAUCUUCCAUCACUCAGGGCCUGAGAAGGCGGGGUCUUAAACGUUAUCCAAUCAGGGACGCUGUCCUG
rnacentral:lncRNA from 1 species